AACCUUAUGGACCUGCGGGCGUAUACCUGCGGAGGGAUCAUCAAUGAGAUUAGUUAGAUAUUGGGGUGGGGGGAGGGCAGCGACAGCAGCCGGAAGGCUGCGGUAGCAGUACUCGCCUCACCUCCUUAUACACACGUGCCUGAUAGACAGAAAUGAGUCUGACAGAUUGAUAUAUAUAAUAUAACUGGGACAACUUUCAACAACGGAUCU
rnacentral:misc_RNA from 1 species